rnacentral:rRNA from 1 species
AAUGAACGCUGGCGGCGCGCCUAACACAUGCAAGUCGAGCGAGAAAGCUCCUUCGGGAGUGAGUACAGCGGCGGACGGGUGAGUAACACGUGAGAAUUUACCUUUUAGUGAGGAAUACCCUCGAGAAAUUGGGGUUAAUGCCGCAUAUCUUCCUUCGGGAAGAAAGAUGGCCUCUUUGCUGUCGCUAAAAGAUAAGCUUGCGGACUAUUAGCUUGUUGGUGGGGUAAAGGCCUACCAAGGCUUUGAUGGAUAGCCGGCCUGAGAGGGUGAUCGGCCACACUGGAACUUAGACACGGUCCAGACUCCUACGGGAGGCAGCAGUGGGGAAUAUUGCGCAAUGGGCGAAAGCCUGACGCAGCGACGCCGCGUGGGGGAUGAAGGUCUUAGGAUUGUAAACUCCUGUUAAGUGGGAAGAAAGAAUUGCUUUUAAUAGAAGCAAGUGAUGACGGUACCAUUAGAGAAAGCACCGGCUAACUUCGUGCCAGCAGCCGCGGUAAUACGAAGGGUGCAAGCGUUAUUCGGAAUCAUUGGGCGUAAAGGGUGUGUAGACGGCGCAUUAAGUCAACUGUUAAAUUCUCCGGCCUAACUGGAGGUGUGCGGUAGAAACUGGUGUGCUAGAGGAUGAAAGAGAGAAGCGGAAUUCUCGGAGUAGCGGUAAAAUGCGUAGAUCUCGAGAGGAACACCGAUGGCGAAGGCAGCUUCUUGGUUCAUUCCUGACGUUGAGACACGAAAGCGUGGGGAGCAAACAGGAUUAGAUACCCUGG